UCCGUGUUCACCACGGCAGUCUCCUUAGAGAGCCCAACUGAAUGCUGGCAACUAAGGACAAGGGUUGCGCUCGUUGCGGGACUUAACCCAACAUGUCACCACACGAGCUGACGACAGCCAUGCAGCACCUGUCUUCUGGUCGUAUUGCUACGAAAGAUGUAUCUCUACACCGGUCCAGAGAUGUCAAACCCAGGUAAGGUUCUUCGCGUUGCUUCGAAUUAAACCACAUGAUCCACCGCUUGUGCGGGCCCCCGUCAAUUCCUUUGAGUUUUAGUCUUGCGACCGUACUUCCCAGGCGGGGCACUUAUCGCGUUAGCUCAGACUCGGCAGGGGUCAAGACCCGCCAAAUCGAGUGCCCAUCGUUUACAGCGUGGACUAC
rnacentral:misc_RNA from 1 species